CCAACACCUUGAUUUUAAACUUCUGACCACCAGAACUUUAAGUGCAGGCACCGUCGGGAUGGCCGUGCCUGCUCCAGAAGUCGGCUCUGAUCUUCCCGCCGUCAACAAGACUUUCCCCUCCUUUACGUCCAGCUGACCUCUCGUGCGGGGUGAGAUCCGAAACGGAUAAAAACACACUGGGAGCUGCCAUGUCACAAAGCAGAUGUGUGAGCAUCCUACUCUUGAGCCUGCCGCUGGGAAUCCAGACGUGAUGAGCCUCAGUCUUUUUAAUCGACAGCAGUGGUGAACCAAGACGGUAGAUGCUUUGCUGCAAUGUGACUCGGAGCCAAGGGCGGGCAGAGACUCUGUUCGCAGUCCACCUUCCUUCCAACGCUCCAGGUUGUGAUGUAAUUGCAGCCGAGGCAGAAUUAACAAUAAGGAGCUGGACGUGCCUUAAUUCAUUA